rnacentral:lncRNA from 1 species
AUAAAUUAAAAUCACUUAAAACCAAAUAAUUCAUGAAAAAUAUCAAAUGAAGUCUCAAAAAAAAAUAAAAAUCGUAAUAUGAAACUAGAUUUUUCCAGAAAAAUUUCAAAGUUGGUCUCAUAUUUUUCUGACUUCAUAUGGAUUUUUAAUGAAUUAUUGAAAAUGGAAUGAAUUAAAAGAAAAUAAAAAGAAAAUGAAAUAAACGAAAAAAUGCUAAGUCACUAGAUCCAAUUCAUUAAUUGAUCUGACAAUGGAU